UUUCCGUAGGUGAACCUGCGGAAGGAUCAUUAAUAAAUGCGAAGUCCUCUGUGACCUAGCUUUAAUAAUAACCCUCAACACCUGUGCACCGUAUUGCCUUUGGGCAAUUACUUUUAUAAACAACAGUGUAAAGAAUGUAAUAAUACUUUAACAAAAUACAACUUUCAACAACGGAUCUCUUGGCUCUCGCAUCGAUGAAGAACGCAGC
rnacentral:misc_RNA from 1 species